rnacentral:tRNA from 1 species
AGGAUAUUAGCUCAACUGGAAGAGCGCUCGGUUGCGAUCAGAGAGGUAUGAGUUCGAGUCUCAUAUAUCCUU